rnacentral:rRNA from 1 species
UCCUGUGUAUUUCUGUUUUCAUUCACACUCAGACAUUGAUUUAAAAAGUAGAAAAUAUGGAAGCUAAGCAGGGCCGGGCCUGGUUAGUACUUGGAUGAGAGACCACCUAGGAAUGCCAGGUGCUGUAGGUG